rnacentral:rRNA from 1 species
CCUACGGGAGGCAGCAGUGGGGAAUUUUCCGCAAUGGGCGAAAGCCUGACGGAGCAAUACCGCGUGAGGGAGGAAGGCUCUUGGGUCGUAAACCCUCUUUUCUCAGGGAAGAAGAAAGUGACGGUACCUGAGGAAUAAGCAUCGGCUAACGUCCGUGCCAGCAGCCGCGGUAAUACGGAGGAUGCAAGCGUUAUCCGGAAUGAUUGGGCGUAAAGGGUCCGCAGGUGGCUGUGUAAGUCUGCUGUUAAAGAGUCAUGCUUAACAUGAUAAGAGCAGUGGAAACUACAUAGCUAGAGUACGUUCGGGGCAGAGGGAAUUCCUGGUGUAGCGGUGAAAAUGCGUAGAUAUCAGGAAGAACACCGGUGGCGAAAAGCGCUCUGCUAGGCCGUAACUGACACUGAGGGACGAAAGCUAGGGGAGCGAAAUGGGAUUAGAUACCCCAGUAGUCCUAGCCGUAAACGAAUGGAUACUAGGNGNGCGUGUAUACGACCGACGCGCGUCGUCGUCUACGUACGUAACGUAAGUACCGCCGUCGGUAGGUACGGACGACGACGAACGAGUAGAACGAACGUAAAGUAAAGUAAAGUUAAGUUAGGUACGUUGUUAGAAGAGCGACGGACGACGACGACGGAGGAGGAG